CCGCCUACCAUGCAAGUCGAACGGUAACAGGAUGUGCUUGCACAUCGCUGACGAGUGGCGGACGGGUGAGUAAUGCUUGGGAACUUGCCUUUGCGAGGGGGAUAACAGUUGGAAACGACUGCUAAUACCGCAUAAUGUCUUCGNACCAAACGGGGCUUAGGCUCCGGCGCAAAGAGAGGCCCAAGUGAGAUUAGCUAGUUGGUAAGGUAAAGGCUUACCAAGGCGACGAUCUCUAGCUGUUCUGAGAGGAAGAUCAGCCACACUGGGACUGAGACACGGCCCAGACUCCUACGGGAGGCAGCAGUGGGGGAAUAUUGCACAAUGGGGGAAACCCUGAUGCAGCCAUGCCGCGUGUGUGAAGAAGGCCUUCGGGUUA
rnacentral:rRNA from 1 species